UGGGGAAUCUUGCGCAAUGGGCGAAAGCCUGACGCAGCGACGCCGCGUGGGUGAUGAAGGCCUUCGGGUUGUAAAGCCCUGUGGGGAGAGAAGAAUGAGUUGGUCUAAACAUGGCCAGCGAUGACGGUAUCUCCUUAGCAAGCACCGGCUAACUCUGUGCCAGCAGCCGCGGUAAUACAGAGGGUGCAAACGUUGUUCGGAAUUACUGGGCGUAAAGCGCGUGUAGGCGGCUAUGCAAGUCGGGUGUGAAAGCCCUGGGCUCAACCCAGGAAGUGCAUUCGAUACUGCGUAGCUGGAGUCCCGGAGAGGAUGGUGGAACUCUCGGUGUAGAGGUGAAAUUCGUAGAUAUCGAGAAGAACACCUGUGGCGAAGGCGGCCAUCUGGACGGUGACUGACGCUGAGACGCGAAAGCGUGGGGAGCAAACAGG
rnacentral:rRNA from 1 species